AGACCCUGGUCUGCACUCUAUCUGUAUUCUUACUGAAGGGAGCGCAGGGCAGGGUUUCC
rnacentral:pre_miRNA from 1 species